UUAUGUUGUUGCCAUGGUGACUUGUAAAGAUAUUUUAUUUGUGAACAAUGUUUAAUUGAACUACUCACAGAGACCAUUGAUAUAACAUUACAGAACAAGAUAUGAGCAAAUAUGUUUGCACAAAAAUAGAAUCCAUACAAUUGGUUGUCACAUACACAUAUUUAUUCAUUGUUUAUUUCAUUUAUUUUAAUUGAUAAUCUUAGUUUGGCAUGUUAUUGUUGAUACAAUCGAUGAACCGGCUGAAGCUUAUUACAACGUAGGCUAGGUAUUACUGCAAAAUCACUGUUCAAUUAUAUAGAAACCACAAUGUCCUUAUGAAGUCAUUAGUACCUGAACAGAACAAAACCACCAAAACAGGCUUUUUACAGAUUGUUGUUACACAAACUUCCCAGUGUUCAUAUAGAAACAUAUCAUCUAUCAACAACAAUGAUUAUCAAAAAGUAAUGCAAUAUUACACGCUAUGCAGGUUAAAGAAUGCGAUGUAAGAAGUUAAAAAGCAGAAAACUAAAGAUGUAUUCCAAUAAAGGUUGAAUCAAAACGACAUAAAAUAAUGAAACAGAAACUUCUGGAAGUAUAGUAUACAGCAGUGAGAGCCUGCAAACCUCCCAGACAGAGGUCCCACAUUGACAGCCCUCUGAACCAAGUCGGUUGUUACAUCUGGGUGAAUAUCUGCGGCUAUCUUUCCUGCUAGUGGUGGGUCCCACAUCGUUCCAGGGAGCUCAUUCCAUGAUGUGUGUACAGCCACAAACCAAGCCGGUUUCUCUGAGCUUAUGCUUUCUCAUAAGAUCAGUUGUGGGAGAAUCUACCCAAGCAUCUUUUAAGAGGUACUCAUGUGAUGAACAAUCAAACACACUUCCCGAUAUUGAGAUGAAUAUAAAUGUUUUUUCACUCUUGUUCUGGGUUUUAUAGUGGCUUGAUAUCAUCAUAUCAUCAUGUCAUAUCAUCAGGCGAUAAUCGUUGAAUCAAUUUAAUUAUUUGUCAACCAUUAUUGUUACACAUAUGUAUUCUCGUUCGGUGCAGGCAGAUUAUCUUCAAAAAUGCGGCAGGAAAUUAUUAUUAUCUGGCGGCCUUCUUAUGACAUAAUGUGGUUUGGCAUGAUACUUCAAUUAGGCUGAGGACAAUAGUCACAGAGCAAUCGGGUCUUAUUUUGUAUUAUUGAUGUAAUCAUGUGGCUUCCAGCAUUCAACAGCUCCUCAGUGCAUCACAUAGGACACAACAACGUAUACAAAGCAGCUCACCUAUAGUUAACCUUUAAAAGGAACCUUUAAAAGGAACCUUUCAUGAAACAUUUCAAAUCGGUCCCUCAUUAGCUAAAGAAAACAACGCAAAGACAAAAACAACAAACAGAAUGGUUCAGCACUUGUCAUGGAGAAGAUUACAGGCUGAAAUGAUUUGCUCAUCUCAUUAUUAUUCCAUAAUUUACAACUCCUUCCUUGUUCCACUAACUGAUACCCUUUCUUGAUGCAAGAGCAGCAGUGAUACAAUGGAAAGGUUUGAAAUAUACGACAGACAGGCGCUUCAAAGAGAUUAACAGAGAAGGCGUCUUAUGCGCAUCACAAGCCCUGCAUAAACCCAAAGUACUGCUUACUGGCUUCGUCUUAAUCCUCUCAUGUCUUCUGUCAGUCUCUUCUUUACGUGAUGAAAAGAGAACCAACGCUCAAAGGGUCCAUUGUGGACGUUAAAAUGUCGGAUUGGUUUAUUUAAGCCUGUGUACUGUAUGUGUGAUGUGGAAUAAGUGACAGUUGGCCAACCAAGUGCCUUUUUUGAUCUUCUGAGGGCCCCUAGUCACAUCCUACUUGAGGCCACUCACAUAUGACUUAUCAAACCCAUUUUCUCAGCUUUGAUUAAUUCUAAUGUAUUUAUUUAGACAUAUUUAUUCGCUUUUUUCAUAAUUGUCAUUGAGCGCUUUUCUCCCGACUCCAUUCAUUGUGGCCUAAGCCAGACAAUCUAUAGGCGUCCUGGGGGGAUUUUCUCUGUGGAUUGAUUGGCAGAAUUGUUGCACAUUUUAAGAUAGAGGUUAAAUCAGUCAUGGGAAUCCAUAAACUAUAGGGAUAAACUUACUCUACACAGCCCAAUGCAGAAUGAGUCACCUCUAGGCCAAGACUGGGAGUCUCACAUUAAGUAUUGAUUUAACUUAUUUUCAUUGAUUUUGUCCCUGCGUGACACAUACACAUACUCUUAAUUAAGAUUAGUUCCAUCGUUGCUGUAUAUCGGCGCACGUAAGCAGAUAGCAAGCGUAGCCAACAUCUGGCUCAUCUCUCUUCUCAGCAUUUCAAACAUCAGAGGGGAAUACAAAUGAGAAGUUGGCGGGGAUUCAAUUUUGAUGUACUUCAAAAUGCACUUUCCCAAUUCGUUUCGGAGCACUCUGGUGACAUUUUUGACACCAGUCUCGAUCUCGAUGUGAAAUACAGAAGGAGGUUGUUGAGUGUGACCCACAUGAUUGAUUGUUUGAACGUCAGUGGGUUGAACAUUACAGUUCCCGUCACAGUUGGGAACGCACAGUUUAGAAACACAUCAUUUCAAUAGUGUCUUUGAUACGUUUGCAUCAAAAGGCAAAUUAGUCCCAGGGACGAUUCCCUUCUUAUUAUCAUGCCGAUCGUUCCAGUGAUUCGCUGCUGGAUAUGUCCAUGAACAAAGCUGUAGCUGCAAUAUUCACCACAGCACUCGACACAACACUGACGAGAAUGAACACUUUUGCUACGCGCUAUUUCUCUCCUCUGGUAUGUGAAGGUAUCCUCAUGAGUCACGCAAAGCUACUGAGGUGGAAUAAACCUUGCUCAUAAUCAUUUGAAUAUAUUUUUAUUCAAACGGCUUCGCAGAUAAUUGGCAAAUUUGAACUGUACCUUUAAUUGAUAAUUAAAUUCGUGAUUCAGGCAUGAACAUGCAAACUGAAUUGAAUCACCAAAGUCUUCAGAGACGGAAGCAUGUUUAUGGGCACCGCUGGGAACAAAUGUAAACAUCGAUCCUGCUCCGCAUGAGGUCAAGAGCUCUCUGUUGUACGUAGCUUUGAAUGACAGAUACUUGACUAAUAAAGUCUAAACUAAAACAGCAAAGCGAAUCAGGACCACUAUGAGCUUUAUAAACAGACAUAUUUUAUCAGGCUGGCUUAUCAAGAUGGGAAAGCAUGUUUGAAUAAACACUGUGACUGUGAAAUAUAUUGAAAUGCAGAAAUAGUUGCUAAUUGAGGGGAAAUGCUCCACGGACCAUUAAAUCUGGAUCCAAAGCAUUUAUAUUGGCUGUUGUAUUUGUGUCAUGAUCCUCUGUUAGUUGCAGGAUGACCGUGAUCAUGUCAGCUACAUAUUCAGCAGUGUGACGUUUUUAAAGAGAAAAAACCUCACUGAAGCGUAUUUGAUUACAGAAAACAUUUGUUAAGAUCAACAGUUGUUAAGAUGCUAAGUGUGUAUAGGCUUCUAUUGAUCUUUGUGGUCUUCCCCAUGUGAGUCCAGUGUGUAUUCUUUGUCUUUGUGGUCUUCCCCAUGUGAGUCCAGUGUGUAUUCUUUGUCUUUGUGGUCUUCCCCAUGUGAGUCCAGUGUGUAUUCUUUGUCUUUGUGGUCUUCCCCAUGUGAGUCCAUUGUGUAUUCUUUGUCUUUGUGGUCUUCCCCAUGUGAGUCCAUUGUGUAUUCUUUGUCUUUGUGGUCUUCCCCAUGUGAGUCCAGUGUGUGCACCCUUUGUCUUUGUGGUACAGUUGGAUAUUUUACAGUUGUUUCAAAAGUCAAAUGUAAGAUGUCUCCAUCGCCACGUCUCCCCCGGCGUCUGGAUUGAUGCUUAUGUGGUCCAACAGCUCUGCUUGCUGUCACCUACCACCCCGUCACCCAUCUCACCCCCACAACCCCCGCCCCGCAGAGUAUGGCAGAGAGAAACACCAGUCUGAGAAAAUGGGAAUCCACUGAACACUUUUAGUUCAGUCCACCCACAAAUAUCCAGGGAACCUUGAUAGACAAUUACACCCCUCCCCUUCCCCCACAAACACAA
ensembl:lncRNA